rnacentral:rRNA from 1 species
AGUGAACGCUGGCGGCAGGCCUAACACAUGCAAGUCGAACGGCAGCACACUAAGAGCGUGCUCUUACGGGUGGCGAGUGGCGGACGGGUGAGGAAUACAUCGGAAUCUACUCUUUCGUGUAGCAUAACGUAGGGAAAGCUACGCUAAUACAGCAUACGAUGUACCGUUGAAAGCAGUGGAUAUUUGCGCCUUGUGCGAAUGAAUGCGCGGAUGUCGGUUUGGCUAGUUGGCGGGGUAAUGGCCCAGCAAGGGGGGGAUCGGUUGCCGGACUGAGUGACUGGUAGGCGACAUUGGAGGUUGACCACGGUCAAGAGGCCUGCGGGAGGGAGCAGAGGGGUAUAUGGGACAAUGGGCGCAAGCCUGAUCCAGCCAUACCGCGUGGGUGAAGAAGGCGUUCGGUUUGUAAAGCCCUUUUGUUGGGUAAGAACAGCAGCAGGUUGAUACGCCGCUGUUCUGACGGUACCCAAAGAAUAAGCACCGGCUAACUUCGUG